rnacentral:rRNA from 1 species
UUCUUUCUAGAAACAUUUUCCAAUACUUCUACUUUGUUACGACUUAUUCUAAUUUAUUUAUAGAAGUGACGGGCAAUAUGUACAUAUUUUAAUUUAUUAUCAUUAAAAUAAAUUAAUUUUAAUUACAAUUAAAUCCACUUUCAAAAAAUUUUUACAAAAAAAAAUCCAUUUAAAUAAAUUUAUUGUAAUCCAUCAUAUUCUUAAUUAUAACUACAUCUUGAUCUGAUUUUAUUUAAUAUAAAAAUUAUUAAAUAUUUUAUUUUUUAUAAAAUAUUUUUAACAAUGAUAUAUAAGCUUAUAAAUUAAGUAAAUUUAUUCGUGGAUUAUCAAUUAAUAGACAGAUUCCUCUAAAUAAAAUAAAAUACCGCCAAUUUCUUUAAGUUUAAAUAAAUAAUUAAUUACUAUUUUAGUAUUAAAAUUUAAUUUAAAUAAUAGGGUAUCUAAUCCUAGUUUAUUACAUAAUUUUUUUAAAUAACAUAAAUAAAAUAAAUUUUAUUUAAAAUAAAUUUCACCUUAAAAUUAAAAAUUUAAUUUAAAUAAAUAUGUUUAUUAAAACUAAUAAAUUUUAAUAAAAUUUUUGUUUAACCGCAACUGCUGGCACAAAAUUUGUUAUUUUUUUAAAUAUUACUAAUCCAAAAUUUCUUAUAUUAUUAAUAUUAAAUACUGCAAUUAUAAAUAAUUAUUAAAAUUAUAUAUAUAAAAUACUAAAAUUUACAUAUAAAACAAAUUUAUAAUAAAAUAAUUCAAGCUAAAAAAACUUAUCC